AUUGAACGCUGACGGCAUGCUUUACACAUGCAAGUCGAACGGUAACAGGCCGCAAGGUGCUGACGAGUGGCGAACGGGUGAGUAAUGCAUCGGAACGUGCCCAGUCGUGGGGGAUAACGCAGCGAAAGCUGCGCUAAUACCGCAUACGAUCUAUGGAUGAAAGCGGGGGACCGUAAGGCCUCGCGCGAUUGGAGCGGCCGAUGUCAGAUUAGGUAGUUGGUGGGGUAAAGGCUCACCAAGCCGACGAUCUGUAGCUGGUCUGAGAGGACGACCCGCCACACUGGGACUGAGACACGGCCCAGACUCCUACGGGAGUCAGCAGUGGGGAAUUUUGGACAAUGGGCGCAAGCCUGAUCCAGCAAUGCCGCGUGCAGGAAGAAGGCCUUCGGGUUGUAAACUGCUUUUGUACGGAACGAAACGGCUCUGGUUAAUACCUGGGGCUAAUGACGGUACCGUAAGAAUAAGCACUGGCUAACUACGUGCCAGCAGCCGCAGUAACAC
rnacentral:rRNA from 1 species